UGGGGAAUUGUUCGCAAUGGGCGCAAGCCUGACGACGCAACGCCGCGUGGAGGAUGAAGGUCUUCGGAUUGUAAACUCCUGUUGCCCGGGACGAAAUGUUCAGACCUAAUACGUCUGAGUUUGACGGUACCGGGUGAGGAAGCCCCGGCUAACUCUGUGCCAGCAGCCGCGGUAAUACAGAGGGGGCAAGCGUUGUUCGGAAUUACUGGGCGUAAAGGGCGCGUAGGCGGCCCUCUAAGUCGAACGUGAAAUCCCUGGGCUCAACCCAGGAACUGCGUCCGAGACUGGGGGGCUAGAAUCCGGGAGAGGGAUGUGGAAUUCCAGGUGUAGCGGUGAAAUGCGUAGAGAUCGGGAGGAAGGCCGGUGGCGAAGGCGGCGCUCUGGAACGUUUCUGACGCUGAGGCUCGAAAGCGUGGGGAGCAAACAGGAUUAGAUACCCACGUAGUCCCUGAGCGGGCUGGCAAGGCGCAU
rnacentral:rRNA from 1 species